rnacentral:rRNA from 1 species
UUGACCUCAAAUCAGGUAGGACUACCCGCUGAACUUAAGCAUAUCAAUAAGCGGAGGAAAAGAAACCAACAGGGAUUGCCUCAGUAGCGGCGAGUGAAGCGGCAAAAGCUCAAAUUUGAAAUCUGGCGUCUUUGGCGUCCGAGUUGUAAUUUGAAGAAGGUAUCUUU